GACAGAGGGUGCAAACGUUGUUCGGAUUCAUUGGGCGUAAAGGGUGCGUAGGCGGCGCGGUAAGUCGGGUGUGAAAUCUCGGAGCUUAACUCCGAAACUGCAUUCGAUACUGCCGUGCUUGAGGACUGGAGAGGAGACUGGAAUUUACGGUGUAGCGGUGAAAUGCGUAGAUAUCGUAAGGAAGACCAGUGGCGAAGGCGGGUCUCUGGACAGUUCCUGACGCUGAGGCACGAAGGCCAGGGGAGCAAACGGG
rnacentral:rRNA from 1 species